rnacentral:lncRNA from 1 species
UAUCUAUGUAUCUAUCUUCCAUCUAUCUACCCACCUACCCAAAACUCUUAAGUGGAAGGCAUGAAAGGAAGGAAAGAAGGCCGCCUUUGUUGUCAAAUCUGGAUGUCUUCAUUUGCCCCCUCCAUCUGCUCUCCACCUUUCUCUCCCCUGCCUUUGCAUCAACAGCCAUCCUUGCUCUCUGACUUGUCUGCUAAUCUGGGUAGUGGUAGGAAUGGAGGCAGGACACAAGAAGAUCAGGCCACACGAAGUGAGUGAGUUUGGGGUAUUUUUCUGCCUAUCUCCCUGCUAAGUUGUCAAGGGUCCACUGGAUCUCUCCACUGCACUCAGCUCCUGCUAGGCUCUUUUUUUCCCCUGUGUUAUACACACUACAUAUGUGCACUUGAGGGACUUCCCUGUCAACUUUCUUAUGGAUAGCCUGUGAAAAUGAAGGCACAGAGAAGGCCAUUUCUCACCCACCACCGGUACCUAAUAGCAGU